ACUUGUAUGUGCAACUCCAGGUCAUUCACUGACCCCCACGGGGGCUCUUACUACCGCUCCUCAAUACUUCCAGUUCUCGUCUCCCAGGCACGCUGGAGAACCACACUUCCUUCCUGACCAGAUUAGUCGCUGCUUUGGCCAAUGAAAUGCUGGUGGAAGUGAUGUGUGCUAAGCUUUAAGAGGCUGUACUGGAUGCGGCAUGCUUUCUUUUUACUCUGUCCCCAGAACCGCUGUGUUCCAGGCAAGGACUGCUCGGUCAGCGAGGGUCCAGGAGCGAGGGGCACACGGAGCAGAGCACCUGGCCGGCUGCAACGGACGGACGGAGUGUAGGGGAAGAUUCAGCUCCACUUGGGUAACCAGGCUUCCUCCAUGCAGUGGCCACGCCACCUCCUUAUGGCUUGGAGUCCCGGCUCAGACCUUUGUACCUGGCAGGCAGGAGAUGGGAUUAUCCCCAUUUUACAGAUGAAGAAAUUGAGGCACAGAAAGUUUUGAAUAAUUUGAAAGUUUAAAUUACUUGAGCAAAAUCAUACAGCCAAAAUGAGGAGAACCAGGAUCUGAACACAAGUCUCUGACCCUAGCCUUCUGUUCUGUUCACUAUAGAGUCACUCACGGGGGAUGAGUUACCUUAGGAACUCAUGUGUACCUUGAAGCCUCAUCAGGCAAGACCUCUGAUGGCUGAGUGGACUUCCCAUGGUUGAAAAAAUGGAUGUGGUUAUACGCCAUACUGGGGAGACAGCAUACCAAUCUAAUGCCAGGACUUGUGGGAGCUAGAGUCCUUUCAAAGAAGAUUGAUAAUAGGGAGGCAAGUUACUGGGAACUGUAAACUUUGGACUCCAAGGAGAAGAAACCUGGACUGAAAGUAACACUCAACAACCUCAUGGACCCAUGCCGUGAACAAGGGCAGCAAGACUAACACUCUCCGGAAGUGUCAACAAAGGGUGGUCCUCUGAAGAGAAAUGGUCAGUUUACAGAGCCGCAGGGGGGAAAGCAGGAAAAAUGGCGGCAAAAAAACCACAGAUGGAUUUAAGACCAGGGCUCUUCCUGCUUGGGUGUGGGAAUCUAAUGGACUCCUCCUGGGAAAGGGAGAACCUCAACUGAGAUACUAAAUCAGCAUAUGGAUGCUUGAUACCCUUUUAGCUUAACUUGGAGACAUAAGAGAUAAAUAAAUUGGCACAGCCAUUGCUUCUCCAAGCCUUUCUGUCUCUUCCAAGUUAGCUACAAUGGGCAUGUAUUACUAUUUUUAAAUUUAAUAUAACUCACUUAAAAUCAUUAACCUGACAAAUUAUAUUAAAUAGAUAUGUAUUAUCUUACACAUCAGUUUAAUAUUUAAAGAACAUACCAUUGGUUUAAAAAAAAAACACAUUAAUACUUUCAAGCCACAAAGCUAUCAUACAGAAAAUUUUACAUCGAUGUGCUAGAAGAUAUGAAAUAUUACUAGAACAUAUAGCAAACUAGAUAGGCAAAAGCUCUUAGAACAAAGGUUGCUUGAGGUCAUACUGGCCCUGAUCAUGUUACACAUUCCCUCACCUCCUACAGGAAAGGUUUUAGGCAGAGAGAAUAUAAAUAUUUUAUUUAUUAAAUGUCUGGUCCUGUUUUAAGUAUUUCUGAUGGUUUCUUCAUGAGAAUAGUAAUAACAAUAAAAACCUCCCUUCUUUUUCCUUGGGUUACUUUGGAAAUACAGCUCAUUCAUCCCUGUGCCAAAGAGAGGCUUUGGGGUUUUUUUAAUUAAAAAAACAUUCUUGUCAACUUUACCCUCUAUCUUCUUAUGUAGGUUGGCCAUGCCCACUUAAAAAUGUAUUGCUGAUGACUGAUUCCUGUUAUGUAAAAUAACCAACGGGAAAUUUAAACACACACCCACACAGAGUUUGCACUUAGACUGUCUUGAAUAGUACAUUCAAUUGUACUUUGACUUCCUUAAAACUAUCCACUGAUUUAUUUUAACCAUUGUUUUUUUAAGAUUUUACUUAUUUGGCGAGCAAGAGAGUACAGCAGGGGGAGCAGAAGAAGAGGGAGAAACACUCCCCACCGAGCAGGCAGGGGGCCCGAUAUGGGUGAUGCCAGGACCCUGGGAUCAUGACCUUAACCUUAAGGCAGAUGCUUAACCCUCUGAACCCCCCAGGCUCCCCUAUUUUAACCUCUUUUAUAUAGAAGACAUUCUGGUAACAAAAUGUAUGAAUUAUUUCAGAGAAGGAAAAUAUAAUGUCUACAUGAUUAAGAGAAAUCUGAUUUCUGGAAUAAAG